UUGUUUACCAAAGAGAAUUCAAAGAAAGCUGCGUUAAAACCAAGUGUUCUAAGGGCAUGGAAGCCUAAGAGUUAUUUUAACCAAGAACCAUCAAUGUCAUUUGAAUCUUUAACAAAAAUCGCAGGUAAUGGCCCUUCCAUUCCCUCCGAUUUUUCCCUUUCCCUCCAAUUUUUGUCGUCCCUCCACUUUUUCCCUCCGCUUAUUUAUAUAUAUAGAAUAUUUGGUGUCUAAACUGCAUCAUUUUUCUGGGUCCAUUAACACUAUAUUCCACUUUCCCAUUUCAAUUUCAAUUAGCCCUACUUCAUCCGUCUCCCCUUACUGCUCUAUCUCUAUCUCUUAGCUGCAAGACUCCUGUACUCUGUCUCAAUCUCUACUGCUGAAUCUCCAUUUCUCAGCUGAAGCCUUUGAUUGAUGUUUGCUAACCCGCUCUAUCUCGAUCUCUCACUGCUCGAUCUCCAUCUCAGCUGCAAGACUCCUCUACCCUGUCUCGAUAUCUCACUGCUCAAUCUCCAUUUCUUAGCUGAAGCCCUUGAUUGAUGUUUGCUAACCCAUCUCUCUUUCGGCAUUAUCUUAUCUGAGAUUAUAAAGUUGAAGCCCUAGGCUUCUCUUCAGGCUGUCUCUCCUCUGUCUCGAUCUCUAACUAGCUACUCAAUCUCCAAGAGCUGUUAAUUUAUGUCAUUUCGAGAUCUUACUCACUAGAUUUUCCUCCCAAAACGUUCUCACUAAAGCCUCUCUUAGGUACCGCUUUGCUUCAUUUUAAUUUCUUCGUGGUUCGUUGUUUUAUUUCUCACUGAUCAUUCAUUUUACACAAUUUAGUUUCUCUCUGCAAUUUCUAAAGUUUCUUCAGACUUCCAACGAUAUAAUUUUUGUGGAUGUGAAGUGCCAGGGUUGCUUCAACAUGAUACGGUCAGUACCCGUUCCAAGGUUGAAGUUAGCAAUGUGGGACCACCAUCCGAACUCAUCUACUCUUACGAUCCAGUUCAGGGUAGAAGUUUUAUGUAUUACUUCAGUUUCAGUUUUUAUUUACUUUUGACGUUGAACUCUCAUGUUUAUAUUUAGGGAUCCUUGACAUAGGAUUUCCAAGUUGUACUGGAGUACUGUAUUAAAUAAAGGAUGGAUGGAUGUUGUAUUAUUUAGUGUUCCU